rnacentral:rRNA from 1 species
AUUGAACGCUGGCGGCAGGCCUAACACAUGCAAGUCGAGCGAGCGGCGGACGGGUGAGUAAUGUAUGGGGACUGCCCGAUAGAGGUGGAUAACUACUGGAAACGGUAGCUCAUACCGCAUACUAUCGGAUACCCCCUAUGGGAUUAGCUAGUAGGUGAGGGAAUGGCUCACCUAGGCGACGAUCCCUAGCUGGUCUGAGAGGAUGAUCAGCCACAAGGGGACUGAGACACGGCCCAGACUCCUACGGAGGCAGCAGUGGGGAAUAUUGCACAAUGGGCGCAAGCCUGAUGCAGCCAUGCCGCGUGUAUGAAGAAGGCCCUAGGGUUGUAAAGUACUUUCAGUCGGGAGGCGUUACCGACAGAAGAAGCACCGGCUAACUCCGUGCCAGCCGCCGCGGUAAUUC